AGCAGCCGCGGUAAUUCCAGCUCCAAUAGCGUAUAUUAAAGUUGUUGCAGUUAAAAAGCUCGUAGUUGAACUUCAGGCCUGGCUGGACGGUCCGCCCUCUGGGUGAGCACUGUCUGUGGUCGGGUCCUACCUUCUGGCGAAGCGGCAUGGCCUUAACCGGCCGUGGCGGGGAACCAGGACUUUUACUGUGAAAAAAUUGAGUGUUCAAAGCAGGCACGCGCUUGAAUACAUUAGCAUGGAAUAAUGGAAUAGGACAAUGGUUCUAUUUGUUGGUUUCUAGGACCGUUGUAAUGAUUAAUAGGGAUAGUUGGGGGCAUUAGUAUUCAAUUGUCAGAGGUGGAAUUCUUGGAUUUAUUGAAGACUAACUACUGCGAAAGCAUUUGCCAAGGAUGUUUUCAUUAAUCAAGAACGAAAGUUAGGGGAUCGGAGACGAUCAGAUACCGUCGUAGUCUUAACCAUAAACUAUAGACCGACUAGGGAUCGGACGAUGUUAACCUUUCUUGACUCGUUCGGCGCCUUA
rnacentral:rRNA from 1 species